rnacentral:rRNA from 1 species
GAGUUUGAUCGUGGCUCAGAUUGAACGCUGGCGGCAGGCCUAACACAUGCAAGUCGAGCGGAUGAAGGGAGCUUGCUCCUGGAUUCAGCGGCGGACGGGUGAGUAAUGCCUAGGAAUCUGCCUGGGUAGUGGGGGAUAACGUCCGGAAACGGGCGCUAACACCGCAUACGUCCUGAGGGAGAAAGUGGGGGAUCUUCGGACCUCACGCUAUCAGAUGAGCCUAGGUCGGAUUAGCUAGUUGGUGGGGUAAAGGCCUACCAAGGCGACGAUCCGUAACUGGUCUGAGAGGAUGAUCAGUCACACUGGAACUGAGACACGGUCCAGACUCCUACGGGAGGCAGCAGUGGGGAAUAUUGGACAAUGGGCGAAAGCCUGAUCCAGCCAUGCCGCGUGUGUGAAGAAGGUCUUCGGAUUGUAAAGCACUUUAAGUUGGGAGGAAGGGCAGUAAGUUAAUACCUUGCUGUUUUGACGUUACCAACAGAAUAAGCACCGGCUAACUUCGUGCCAGCCG